rnacentral:misc_RNA from 1 species
GGAGUUGACAUAAUAUGGUUAAACUAUGAAGGUGCAAGAGUGAAAUACAAGACUUUGCAAUCUUAUGAAUUCGUAGAUGUGAACACUUAUGUGGGGCAUCCCUGGAUAUUCUUAGAUGUAGAAUCUGGAGAGAGACUUGUAGUUAAUCUGAAAUCUGUGUAUGAACCUACGACAGGUUGGGUACCAGGCCAAUGGCCGCCGAUCAGAAAAGUGGUCAACAUUACAAUCCCUAUUUACUCACUUAAAGACUCCUGCAUAAGAUUUUUUCGGAAGCAUCUUCCAAAGGAAAAGUUAGACACACUGGAUUUACCAGGGUCCUUGUUGCAAGAAAUGAAAGAGAGAUAUGACACACCAGCUAUAGCAAGUGGACUGAGGUCAUCUGCCAGAGUUCAGGACAAUUAAUAUAUUUCUUUGUGGGAAACAUUCUGCAUAUUUAGUACAUGUAAUCAAAUAUGCUGAUGGGGAUUUUGGGACAGUCAAGUUCAUAUAAAUUCAUCAAUAUUUGUGGUGCUUUUUGUUUUCUCUUUUGAUAUGUACAAUGUAUUUGCAUUUUUGUUCAUGUAUCAUCUAUAAUAAAUGCUCGUGGCU